rnacentral:rRNA from 1 species
GUGGGGGAUAUUGCACAAUGGGGGAAACCCUGAUGCAGCGACGCCGCGUGAAGGAAGACGUACUUCGGUAUGUAAACUUCUAUCAGCAGGGAAGAAGAUGACGGUACCUGACUAAGAAGCCCCGGCUAACUACGUGCCAGCAGCCGCGGUAAUACGUAGGGGGCAAGCGUUAUCCGGAUUUACUGGGUGUAAAGGGAGCGUAGACGGUGAAGCAAGUCAGAUGUGAAAACCCGGGGCUCAACUCCGGGAUUGCAUUGGAAACUGUUUUACUUGAGUGCUGGAGGGGCAAGCGGAAUUCCUGGUGUAGCGGUGAAAUGCGUAGAUAUCAGGAAGAACACCGGUGGCGAAGGCGGCUUGCUGGACAGUAACUGACGUUGAGGCUCGAAAGCGUGGGGAGCAAACAGGAUUAGAAACCCCAGUAGUCC